GAUGAACGCUGGCGGCGUGCCUAAUACAUGCAAGUCGAGCGAACGGACGAGAAGCUUGCUUCUCUGAUGUUAGCGGCGGACGGGUGAGUAACACGUGGAUAACCUACCUAUAAGACUGGGAUAACGUCGGGAAACCGGAGCUAAUACCGGAUAAUAUUUUGAACCGCAUGGUUCAAAAGUGAAAGACGGUCUUGCUGUCACUUAUAGAUGGAUCCGCGCUGCAUUAGCUAGUUGGUAAGGUAACGGCUUACCAAGGCAACGAUGCGUAGCCGACCUGAGAGGGUGAUCGGCCACACUGGAACUGAGACACGGUCCAGACUCCUACGGGAGGCAGCAGUAGGGAAUCUUCCGCAAUGGGCGAAAGCCUGACGGAGCAACGCCGCGUGAGUGAUGAAGGUCUUCGGAUCGUAAAACUCUGUUAUUAGGGAAGAACAUAUGUGUAAGUAACUGUGCACAUCUUGACGGUACCUAAUCAGAAAGCCACGGCUAACUACGUG
rnacentral:rRNA from 1 species